rnacentral:misc_RNA from 1 species
UUAUCUGAUCUUUCUGUUGGAGUUUAUCUAUCACAUCCUUCCCUUUUCUUCUGUAGUAGACUUUGAGUUCUCCUGGACUGUUGUCCUUAUCUGGUACUGCCACCUGAUUCAUAACAGCACUGCAUUGUGGCUUGCUAAGCUCUCUUGCUAUCACCCCAUCCCUACAUGUGCCUUAGAAGGAAAUUUCAUCCAUCUGUUCUUCAUUCCAAAUAGAAACUGAAUUUGAGAUAGGAGAAGAAAAUUUUAUCCAUCUGUUCUUCAUUCUGAACAGAAACUGAAUUUGAGAUGGAAAACAUCUUAUGGACUUAUGCCUUAAUAACUGAAUUUUUUGUAAGUAACCUCAAUUCUUUUCCUCUUUUUGGUUUACAGGGACACAAAAGGGAGCCCUGAAGUUAAACAUUUGCUCUUCAGGCCCACAUAACUUUAUUUGCUAUUAAUUCUUGUGAAUUACUUUUAUUAAACGAUUUGACUAUCUUAAACUUUAGGGUUUCCUGCUGAUUAUUUUUUGGCCAUAACUAGUUCUCAAUACUGUGAUAAAAUUCUGAAAUUGAUUUCUAAUUUUUCAGGAAGGUGUCAAGACAAAGCAUCCUCAAUUGCUAUAUGAAUCGAAGUUAUACAGAAUCCUUCAAGGA